GGGCUUGCUUCGGCAGCGCAUAUACUAAAAUUGGAACAAUACAGAGAUUAGUGUGGCCCCUGUGCAAGGAUGAUAUGCAAAUUUGUGAAGCAUUCCAUAUUUUU
rnacentral:snRNA from 14 species